rnacentral:rRNA from 1 species
UACGUAGGGUGCGAGCGUUGUCCGGAAUUACUGGGCGUAAAGAGCUCGUAGGCGGUCUGUCGCGUCGGCUGUGAAAACUCGGGGCUCAACUCCGAGCUUGCAGUCGAUACGGGCAGGCUAGAGUUCGGCAGGGGAGACUGGAAUUCCUGGUGUAGCGGUGAAAUGCGCAGAUAUCAGGAGGAACACCGGUGGCGAAGGCGGGUCUCUGGGCCGAUACUGACGCUGAGGAGCGAAAGCGUGGGGAGCGAACAGG